UACAGAGACUGCAAGCGUUAUUCGGAUUCACUGGGCGUAAAGGGUGCGCAGGCGGCCGUGUGUGUGAGGCGUGAAAGCCCGGGGCUCAACCCCGGAAUUGCACCUCAAACUACAUGGCUGGAGCAUUGGAGAGGGAAGCGGAAUUCACGGUGUAGCAGUGAAAUGCGUAGAUAUCGUGAGGAACACCAGAGGCGAAGGCGGCUUCCUGGACAAUUGCUGACGCUCAGGCACGAAAGCGUGGGGAGCAAACAGG
rnacentral:rRNA from 1 species